rnacentral:rRNA from 1 species
UGCAAGUCGAGCGAACAGACGAGGAGCUUGCUCCUCUGACGUUAGCGGCGGACGGGUGAGUAACACGUGGAUAACCUACCUAUAAGACUGGGAUAACUUCGGGAAACCGGAGCUAAUACCGGAUAACAUGUUGAACCGCAUGGUUCAACAGUGAAAGACGGUCUUGCUGUCACUUAUAGAUGGAUCCGCGCCGCAUUAGCUAGUUGGUAAGGUAACGGCUUACCAAGGCAACGAUGCGUAGCCGACCUGAGAGGGUGAUCGGCCACACUGGAACUGAGACACGGUCCAGACUCCUACGGGAGGCAGCAGUAGGGAAUCUUCCGCAAUGGGCGAAAGCCUGACGGAGCAACGCCGCGUGAGUGAAGAAGGUCUUCGGAUCGUAAAACUCUGUUAUUAGGGAAGAACAAAUGUGUAAGUAACUAUGCACGUCUUGACGGUACCUAAUCAGAAAGCCACGGCUAACUACGUGCCAGCAGCCGCGGUAAUACGUAGGUGGCAAGCGUUAUCCGGAAUUAUUGGGCGUAAAGCGCGCGUAGGCGGUUUUUUAAGUCUGAUGUGAAAGCCCACGGCUCAACCGUGGAGGGUCAUUGGAAACUGGAAAACUUGAGUGCAGAAGAGGAAAGUGGAAUUCCAUGUGUAGCGGUGAAAUGCGCAGAGAUAUGGAGGAACACCAGUGGCGAAGGCGACUUUCUGGUCUGUAACUGACGCUGAUGUGCGAAAGCGUGGGGAUCAAACAGGAUUAGAUACCCUGGUAGUCCACGCCGUAAACGAUGAGUGCUAAGUGUUAGGGGGUUUCCGCCCCUUAGUGCUGCAGCUAACGCAUUAAGCACUCCGCCUGGGGAGUACGACCGCAAGGUUGAAACUCAAAGGAAUUGACGGGGA